rnacentral:rRNA from 1 species
UACGAAGGUCCCAAGCGUUAUCCGGAUUUAUUGGGUUUAAAGGGUGCGUAGGCGGACUAUUAAGUCAGUGGUGAAAGCCCCAGGCCUAACCUGGGAACUGCCAUUGAUACUGAUGGUCUUGAGUACAUUUGAGGUGGGCGGAAUGUGUCAUGUAGCGGUGAAAUGCUUAGAUAUGACACAGAACACCGAUUGCGAAGGCAGCUCACUAAACUGUAACUGACGCUGAGGCACGAAAGCGUGGGGAGCAAACAGG